AGGAAGGAAAGAAGGUAGGAAGAAAGGAAGAAAAGCUUGCUACUAAUAUUUUGGUUAAUGAAGGCAUUCAAGUAUUUGAUGAGUGUUAACUAUUUGAAAGUCACCCUACAUAUCAAUUAGAAAAUUGGGAAUAGGAUAUUUGUGUAGUUGUCUUAUUUUCUUUCUUUCUUUUUUUUUUUUUAGGUGGAGUCUCGCUAUGUUGCCCAGGCUGGAGAGCAGUGGUGCAAUCCUGGCUUACUGCAACCUCUGCCUCCUGGCUUCAAGCAAUUCUCCUGCCUCAGCCUCCCAAGUAGCUGGGACUACAGGCUCUGCAGUACCUACCUACCAUGUUACUGUCUUGGUUGUUGGUCUCUCCAGUUGGUAAUACAAGCAUUUCCCACACAUGUACAGAAAGCAAAAAGGACAACAAUAUGAAAUGAAGUGACAACAUCUGUGCCAAUGUAUGGCAUUUACCUGUCACAGUUAGUGUGGCUGUACAGCUGACACUGCCAUACUCAUUGGAAGCUUUGCAUGUAUACUCGCCGCAGUCAACCACCUGGGUUCUCAGGAUUUCAAGGCUGGAGAUAUACUUUGAAGAUCGAAUAGAACACUUGUCACUCUCAUAAAUUUCUCGGCCAGCUUUAAACCACUGGAACCGGACAUUGGGAGCACUUUGGAUCUCACAGGUGAAUUUGGCUAGGUGGCCCAGUGCUACUUCCAGGGGUUCGAUUUUCCUCUUGAUCACUGGGGCAGCUGCAAAGGGAAGUAGAGUCCAUUAACAUGCCUCCUUAUCAGGCAUAUGACAUUUUUGUUUUUCUUCUAACUUUUGUUGCUGUUAAUGGAGUAAAACAGUUGAAAUUGGUGAGAUGGAUUACAGCAGUUUAAGGCAAGUGACUGGAAAAUGAGAAAGAUCAUUGAAGGCAAAAGAAGACAAUAAGCUUUUUUUAAAAAAAACCUAUUCAAUCAUUGCUUUGCAGUGAAUUGUGAAAAAAUGUGAUGCUAUUGGAUUAUAUGCAUAACAACAUGAUAUAUUCUUUAAAUAUACCAUGCUGAAUGGGAACACUGAAAAUAAUGUGAAGAAACAUGAUAUACUAAAUAAAGUGAUGAAGUGAAACAACAACAAAAAAUAAACAGAAAAAAGAAACAGACAACUAAUCAUGGUUAUUUUAAAUCUAAGGGUGAGACCAGUGAUUUCAGAGUGGCUAGGUGUUCACUGAUACUUUUUAUUACAUAUUAUGAAAGUUAUCUUCAUAUGAAAAUUAACUAAAAGCUUAUCUAUUGGUAUUAUGAAACAUAUGAAAAUAUGUUUUAUUUUUAAAAUAAAUAGUACCAUGGAUAUGAUAGCAUAGCACCCAACAGGGCAGUAAGGGAAAAGGUGAGUUCAUAACCAUGAUUAUGUCUGUGAUUUCAUUCUUACUCUAAAUAAAUUACAUUCUGGAAGUGGCAGAUAAGUGAAAAUUUAAGUGAUGCAAGCUAAAUCAUUACAAUCCAGUGAAUGUUAGCAUUUGAUCUAUUUUAUCCUUAAAAUCCAACCUCUUUUUACUACAGUGAGUUUGGCUGAAGUUGCUGUUUUUCCGCUGUCAUUCAAGGCCUCACAGACAUACUCUCCUUGAUGGUCUUCGGUAUUUACUUUGUCGAUGACUAGCGUA